AGGAGCCGUAUGAGGUGAAAAUCUCAUGUACGGUUCCGUAGAGGUAUCGCUGUUUCGUUUCACCAUCCAAA
rnacentral:ncRNA from 1 species